GUCGUAUUAAUGUGGAACUAAUGUGCACUUUUUUUUUUACUUGCAGAUGCUGACCCAAGACAGGAACCAGACCGCCCGGACAGACUCAACAGUUCAAAAGUUAAGUAUGCGCUUUAUGUUAAUGGCCCCUUUUUCCAAAAUUGUCGUAUUAAUGUGGAACUAAUGUGCACUUUUUUUUUUUACUUGCAGAUGCUGACCCAAGACAGGAACCAGACCGCCCGGACAGACUCAACAGUUCAAAAGUUAAGUAUGCGCUUUAUGUUAAUGGCCCCUUUUUCCAAAAUUGUCGUAUUAAUGUGGAACUAAUGUGCACUUUUUUUUUUACUUGCAGAUGCUGACCCAAGACAGGAACCAGACCGCCCGGACAGACUCAACAGUUCAAAAGUUAAGUAUGCGCUUUAUGUUAAUGGCCCCUUUUUCCAAAAUUGUCGUAUUAAUGUGGAACUAAUGUGCACUUUUUUUUUUUACUUGCAGAUGCUGACCCAAGACAGGAACCAGACCGCCCGGACAGACUCAACAGUUCAAAAGUUAAGUAUGCGCUUUAUGUUAAUGGCCCCUUUUUCCAAAAUUGUCGUAUUAAUGUGGAACUAAUGUGCACUUUUUUUUUUACUUGCAGAUGCUGACCCAAGACAGGAACCAGACCGCCCGGACAGACUCAACAGUUCAAAAGUUAAGUAUGCGCUUUAUGUUAAUGGCCCCUUUUUCCAAAAUUGUCGUAUUAAUGUGGAACUAAUGUGCACUUUUUUUUUUACUUGCAGAUGCUGACCCAAGACAGGAACCAG
rnacentral:lncRNA from 1 species